rnacentral:rRNA from 1 species
CCUACGGGUGGCAGCAGUGGGGAAUAUUGGACAAUGGGGGCAACCCUGAUCCAGCCAUGCCGCGUGUGUGAAGAAGGCCCUCGGGUUGUAAAGCACUUUCAGUGAGGAAGAACGCCUGGUGGUUAAUACCCAUCAGGAAAGACAUCACUCACAGAAGAAGCACCGGCUAACUCCGUGCCAGCAGCCGCGGUAAUACGGAGGGUGCGAGCGUUAAUCGGAAUUACUGGGCGUAAAGCGCGCGUAGGUGGCUUGAUAAGCCGGUUGUUAAAGCCCCGGGCUCAACCUGGGAACGGCAUCCGGAACUGUCAAGCUAGAGUGCAGGAGAGGAAGGUAGAAUUCCCGGUGUAGCGGUGAAAUGCGUAGAGAUCGGGAGGAAUACCAGUGGCGAAGGCGGCCUUCUGGACUGACACUGACACUGAGGUGCGAAAGCGUGGGUAGCAAACAGGAUUAGAUACCCCAGUAGUC